UACGGAACCAGACGCGUCAACACCGCCACCACCACAAGCACCGCCUGUGCGCCGGGUCAUGGGGGUACGGCAGGUACGGCAGGCACGUGUACGGGUCACGGAAUAGAAAGAGACGGGACAUAUACCGCGACAACGUGAUCGCGCCGUACCAAGCAUGCCAAUGCCGUGAGUGUGUUUUAUUUUUAGUCAAAUUAGACAUGAAAGCAAACGGGGCGCAAACGCAAACACAGAACGUCGAUAGGUGACUAGAUGAAGAAGAUAUCGGUGUGUGGCCUCAACAAACACACGCAACACGCAACACAAAAACCCACACGUACACGCGAGUACCGUGCCGUACCGUGUACGACUGCUGCUGCGGCGGCAAUGGCAGACCCAACCCCAGCCAAACGGCGACCAUAGCCAGCGGCACCGCCACCACCGCCACCCCCAUGAACAGCGAUCGCUCGCUCGGAGUGGAAAAGCCCCGCGGCGCCGCCACCGCCGCUGCUGCUGCUGCGUGACCGCCGCCAGCUGCUGCGGCAGCGGCGGCCCCGCCGCCGCCGCCGCG
rnacentral:lncRNA from 1 species